rnacentral:rRNA from 1 species
GACGAACGCUGGCGGCGUGCCUAAUACAUGCAAGUAGAACGCCGAAGGAGGAGCUUGCUUCUCUGGAUGAGUUGCGAACGGGUGAGUAACGCGUAGGUAACCUGCCUGGUAGCGGGGGAUAACUAUUGGAAACGAUAGCUAAUACCGCAUAAUAGUAGAUGUUGCAUGACAUUUGCUUAAAAGGUGCAAUUGCAUCACUACAAGAUGGACCUGCGUUGUAUUAGCUAGUUGGUGAGGUAACGGCUCACCAAGGCGACGAUACAUAGCCGGCCUGAGAGGGUGGUCGGCCACACUUGGACUGGGACACGGCCCAGGCUCCUUCGGGAGGGAGCAAUAGGGGAACUUCGGCAAUGGGCGGAAGUCUGACCGAACAACGCCGCGUGGGUGAAGAAGGUUUUCGGGUCGGAAAGCUCUGUUGUAAGGGAAGGACGAGUGUGAGAGUGGAAAGUUCACGCUGUGACGGUAUCUUACCAGAAAGGGACGGCUAACUACGUG